AGCUAAAGGUGAUGGGCUUCCAUUAUUCCUCUAGGCUGAAAGGGCUCUCUCCUGAAAACCAUCUACACAGAAAAGGGAAGAGGUAUGAACCCUUGCUGAGUGUUUGUGCAUGUUUGUAAAAGGUCUUUUAAAACAAUGUGUAUUUAGGGUUUUAUUUUCUCAUCUUGAUUCAUGAGCCUCAGAUAUGCAACAUUUAAAAAUUAUUGAUACAUAAUAUUUGUGUGUAUUUAUGAGGUACAUGUGGUAUUUUGUUACAUGCCUAGAAUAUACAAUGAUUGUGCCAGGGUAUUUGGGGUGUCUGUUGCCUAAGCAUUUAUCAUUUCUAUGUGUACGGAACAUUUCAAGUCUUCUCUUAUAGCUAUUUUGAAAUGUAUAAUACACUGUUGUUAACUGUA
rnacentral:antisense_RNA from 1 species